AAGGAUCAUUGUUGAUAACUGC
rnacentral:rRNA from 1 species